rnacentral:rRNA from 1 species
GACAGAGGGUGCAAGCGUUGCUCGGAAUCACUGGGCGUAAAGGGCGUGUAGGCGGGAGGGAAAGUCAGAUGUGAAAUCCCCAGGCUCAACCUGGGAACUGCAUUUGAAACUCCCCUUCUUGAGUACCGGAGAGGAAAGUGGAAUUCCUGGUGUAGAGGUGAAAUUCGUAGAUAUCAGGAGGAACACCAGUGGCGAAGGCGGCUUUCUGGACGGUAACUGACGCUGAGACGCGAAAGCGUGGGGAGCAAACAGG